rnacentral:rRNA from 1 species
UACGUAGGGUGCGAGCGUUAAGUCGGAAUACUGGGCGUAAAGCGUGCGCAGGCGGUGAUGUAAGACCGAUGUGAAAUCCCCGGGCUUAACCUGGGAACUGGCAUUGGUGACUGCAUUGCUGGAGUAUGGCAGAGGGGGGUGGAAUUCCGCGUGUAGCAGUGAAAUGCGUAGAUAUCGGGAGGAGCACCUGUGGCGAAGGCGGCCCCCUGGUUGGAUACUGACGCUGAUACGCGAAAGCGUGGGGAGCAAACAGGG